GACGAGCUCUCCAAACGCUAUUCGGUAUCACUGGGCUUAAAGAGUUCGUAGGCGGUCUGGUAGGUGAGGUGUGAAAUCCCCCGGCUCAACCGGGGAACUGCGCUUCAAACCGCCGGACUUGAGGGAGACAGAGGUGGGCGGAACAGAUGGUGGAGCGGUGAAAUGCGUUGAUAUCAUCUGGAACACCGGUGGCGAAAGCGGCCCACUGGGUCUCAUCUGACGCUGAGGAACGAAAGCUAGGGUAGCGAACGGG
rnacentral:rRNA from 1 species